CCUCAACUCUAUCCUAUUGGAUUACGAAGGCAAACGAACCUCUGACAGAGGAAGAGCCCGCCCCCAUUUCCCUGUGAUUGGUUUCUGCGAGAAAUUCGUGAGGCAUGAUUUCUCACGGAUUGGCUUAAGCCAAUCGAUAGUAAACCAGUAGCCCAUUGGAUCUCUGGGAAAUGUAGUUCACUUAGAAUCAGAGCGGUUCCCCCUCCCCUUAUCUGCCUGGGAUCUGAUAACGGAUUUCUGGAAGGCAGAAGGAAGAGAAUACCUUGGGAAAUGACAAUGAGGACUCCUACUCAUGGAUACAGUGUCCUUAUAGUGGCAUGGAUGUCAUUUAGGAGCAGGGGCCCAUCCAAAGGAAGAAAGAGGAAGAAAUCAUUGAAUAGAUAUUUGCUUUUGUUCUUUGCUGAAGAUUUUUGAUUGUGGGAAGUUCAAUCUUGCAACUCCCCCAUUUUCCUUUUUGUGAGUGACCAAUUUAAGACUGUGCCAAAGACAACAAUAAACAAUAACAUCCCAA